rnacentral:rRNA from 1 species
ACUUAAAGGAAUUGGCGGGGGGGCACCGCAACGGGAGGAGCGUGCGGUUCAAUUGGAUUCAACGCCGUAAAACUCACCAGGAGCGACGGAUAUAUGAAGGUCAAGCUGAUGACUUUACCUGAUUUUCCGAGAGGUGGUGCAUGGCCGUCGCCAGUUCGUACCGUAAGGCGUUCUCUUAAGUGAGAUAACGAACGAGACCCUCACCAUUAAUUGCUAGUCCCUUCUCCGGAGGGGGCGCACAUUAAUGGGACCGCUGGCGCUAAGUCAGAGGAAGGAGAGGUCAACGGUAGGUCCGUAUGCCCCGAAUCCCCUGGGCAACACGCGCGCUACAAAGGGUGGGACAAUGGGCUUCGACACCGAAAGGUGAAGACAAUCCUGAAACCCAUCCAUAGUUCGG